GUGCCCCCCAGAGCCUGCACACUCCUUCUAGGCCACCCAGGAUCAGAGCCUGGGUAGGGUGACUGGUUGGGGAAGCCAGGCCCAGCCACCCCACCACGUGCUGGCCACAGCUGGAGGAGUCCAAGGGUACAGAUUUGAGCCCAGCCUUUCAGGUCACUGUGAAGGGAUUGCUUGUCUAGGACUGGCUGAACUUUAUUCAACAGCUUGAUGGGCGGCUUUAAAUAUCCAGACACGUGGUACAGGAGCCUCCAUCUGUGCUCUUGUCCUAGCCCUGGAAAUGCAGGGGGCGCCAUGUUGACAUCCAGAGGUCGGGAUCCUGGUCUCCGGGGUUAGCGCUGCCUGGCUGUGCAAAACUCGAGUCACAGGUCUCAAAGCCACCCCGUCAAAGGCAUUGUCCAGGCCUGUACUCCCCAGCACCGCAAGCCUGGCCUGGGCUGUGGGGGGCCUCCAGGAGCCCCAUCCUCAAUUUAUAGGCCCGUCUUCUCCACGGGUCCCUUGCAGGCUCAGCUUCUUGGGAAUUGGCCCUGCCUGGCCCUCAUGUUCCUGCUGGGCCAAGCCAGGGGGCCCAUGCGUCCUUUCUUGGGCAUGGGGAAACCUCUGAAGGCAGGUGGCACAGUCAGCUGUGCCUGCUAGAAGGGCGCUGGAAACUCCAUUUCCUGGUCCCCAACUGUCCCAUUUACACCCCACCUCCCCAGUCCCGCCUCCUGGAACGCAAUCAGGCUGGCAAUUGAGUUCAUUGGCUAAAUCAAAUUUGGGCUUCUGUGCGAAGCCCUUUUCUAUUAAGUGCUUUA
rnacentral:lncRNA from 1 species